AGCACGCCUCAAGGGCACAACCUCCAAGUCGACAUCGUUUACGGCGUGGACUACCAGGGUAUCUAAUCCUGUUGCUCCCCACGCUUUCGCACCUGAGCGCAGUCUUUGUCCAGGGGGCCGCCUUCGCCACCGGUAUUCCUCCAGAUCUCUACGCAUUUCACCGCUACACCUGGAAUUCUACCCCCCUCUACAAGACUCUAGCCUGCCAGUUUCGAAUGCAGUUCCCAGGUGAGCCCGGGGAUUUCACAUCCGACUUGACAGACCGCCUGCGUGCGCUUUACGCCCAGUAAUUCCGAUUAACGCUUGCACCCUCCGUAUUACCGCGGCUGSUGGCACGGAGUUAGCCGGUGCUUCUUCUGCGAGUAACGUCAAUCRCAAGGUUAUUAACCUUAAGCCUUCCUCCUCGCUGAAAGUACUUUACAACCCGAAGGCCUUCUUCUACACGCGGCAUGGCUGCAUCAGGCUUGCGCCCAUUGUGCAAUAUUCCCCACUGCUGCCUCCCGUAGGAGUCUGGACCGUGUCUCAGUUCCAGUGUGGCUGGCAUCCUCUCAGACAGCUAGGGAUCGUCGCCUAGGUGAGCCAUUACCCCACCUACUAGCUAAUCCCAUCUGGGCAAUCUGAUGGCAUGAGGCCCGAAGGUCCCCCACUUUGGUCUUGCGACGUUAUGCGGUAUUAGCUACCGUUUCCAGUAGUUAUCCCCCUCCAUCAGGCAGUUUCCCAGACAUUACUCACCCCGUCCGCCGCUCGUCACCCGAGAGCAAGCUCUCUGUGUACCGCUCGACUUGCAUGUGUUAGGCCUGCCGCCAGCGUUC
rnacentral:rRNA from 1 species